UGAUUCCGAUAACAUUAGAUAAAAUCUGCUCAUUUAUUUUAUAUUUCAACUAGUUUAAAUUCAAUGCCAAUUUUCUUUCCUUGAAAUAUAUUUGACUUUCUAUUGCAUUAAGAAAAUAAAGUUUAAAGGGAAGAUAUUGCCUAUAUUCCACUUUAAAACAAAACAAAACAAAAACAAAACAAAACAAACAAACAAACAAACAAACAAACAAAAACAAACCAGAAAACAACAAAAAAACAAAACCCAAAAACUUGCAUAUGACUGGUAAAAAUAAAAAUGUAGCAAUAAAGAAUGCCUCCAUAUUUUCUCUCCAACUAGCAGGGAGGGAAAGGAAAGAAAAGUCAAUACUUGGCUGGAAUCAUGAGCAGCUUGUUGGCUGAGUUAAUCAGUCAGGAGCCCUGCAGCUGGUCAGCUUCACCUCACCGAUAAAUGUCACAACUCUCUGCUGUCAAUAUGAAUUACCAGAAAAGGUUUCCUAGAAACUAAGGAUGGGGGAGCCAUUUUCCUUUGAAUGAAUUAUACAGGCCAAAAUAAUACUGAAACAAGAUUAGGAUGGGUUGCUCUAAUUGACUAGGCAAUUAUUUAAAUGUACCCCGGAGGUAAGACAAACCAUAGAAAAUAAUGCAGCCCAGGUUACAAAAUGCAAGAAAUUUGUGCAUUUAACAAAGGUUUAAAAGGUUACGCUUAAAAGAUGAUGUACUAAGUCACAAGCAAGUUUGCUUUAGUUUUCAGUGCUGGGAAGGGUAUCUGAGGAAACACAAGUUUUCUAUAUAAAAUCAAGGAAGGCAAAUAAUGCCUGAAGUUACAGGAAAAGUUUCCUCUUUGAUUCACUUGCUACAUGCUUUAUGUAGCAACAGCAGAGUUCCUCUCUGGAGGGGGUAAAGGGAGCAAACCUACACAGCUGUGACCCAUGCUCCAAAAACAGGAGGUGGCUACAAAGUGCAGGGCUUUUGCACUGCCCAUAUGGAAUAAAAGGAGAACUUGGAAAAAAUACCAUGAUCCUACUUUUUUUUUUUUUUUUUUUUUUUAUUUUUUUUUUUUUUUUUUCCCUCCUGGUUUGCUCACAGAGGAUAAGGAGCACCCACCAAUUUGUGAGCAGGUUGAGUGGGAAUAACUGCGUGAACACUGUGGAGCUUUGUCUCUCUUUUUAUUGGGGAAUUAUAUACAGGUUAACCCCAACACAGAAUUCAGAUGUAGCACUGAACUAGAUAGGCAAGUUCAGACAGAAGAAAAAAUCUCCUCCCUGUCUGGACCGGGCUAGUGUUAUCAGGAGCUGUGGACACUGCAGUAAUGCAGAAGAGACAGACAGAAGCCAAGCAGUAAAUUGACCCACUCAUUUCUCCCUGCUGGAACACUCCCAAAGAGCUUUUCUUUUAUAUAAUAAACACCUCCAUUGCUCACUUGAAGGUCA
rnacentral:lncRNA from 1 species